rnacentral:rRNA from 1 species
GACGAACGCUGGCGGCGUGCCUAAUACAUGCAAGUCGAGCGAAGUUUUUCUGGUGCUUGCACUAGAAAAACUUAGCGGCGAACGGGUGAGUAACACGUAAAGAACCUGCCUCAUAGACUGGGACAACUAUUGGAAACGAUAGCUAAUACCGGAUAACAGUAUUUCUCGCAUGAGAGAUAUUUAAAAGUUGGUUAUGCUAACACUAUGAGAUGGCUUUGCGGUGCAUUAGCUAGUUGGUGGGGUAAAGGCCCACCAAGGCGACGAUGCAUAGCCGACCUGAGGGGGGGAAGGGCCAAAAUGGGAAUGAGACACGGCCCAGACUCCAACGGGAGGAAGAAGGAGGGAAUUUUCCGAAAGGGGCGAAAGCCGGAGGGAGAAAGGCCGGGGGGGGGAAAAAGGAUUUGGGUUGGAAAAGUCUUGUUGUUAGGGAAAAAAGGAAAUGGAGUAACUAUAAAUGUAAGGGACGGUACCAAACCAAAAAGCAACGGCAAAAUAAGG